UACGUAGGGUGCAAGCGUUGUCCGGAUUUAUUGGGCGUAAAGAGCGUGUAGGCGGCCAGACAGGUCCACUGUGAAAACUCGAGGCUCAACCUCGAGAGGUCGGUGGAAACCGUCUGGCUAGAGUCCGGAAGAGGAGAGUGGAAUUCCCGGUGUAGCGGUGAAAUGCGCAGAUAUCGGGAAGAACACCCGUGGCGAAGGCGGCUCUCUGGGACGGUACUGACGCUGAGACGCGAAAGCGUGGGGAGCGAACAGG
rnacentral:rRNA from 1 species